rnacentral:lncRNA from 1 species
GGUCACUGUUCAGCUUCCCUGAACCUGAAGUUCAUCAAUUCAGCCAGGAUGGUUGGUCCAACAGCUUUGUGGAUGGGGCUGUCUUCUCUCCCCCAUGCACAGUUGGUGGUUGGAACUGAAGUUCUCUGAAGAAGCCACAUGUGCCGUGAAGAUCCGCAAGACAGACUAUGGCUUUCUGAUUAUGAAUAGGUGGAAUGUUGUAAAUUAAAAGCAACAGAAAGUACACUAGAACACUUAGAACUUCAGACUGGCUUAAGGUGGAAUUCAUAUUGCCACCGGCAAGCCCAAGGGAACAGCAAGAGCCCACUGGGAAUUUCUUAGAAAGAAUAUGGUGAAAGUUGGCUCCAAACAAGGAGCCAGAAAGGCUCUUCCACGGUGUGGGCUUACAGUGGCAUUGCCAACGACAGCUGCAACCACAGCGUGACAACAAGGACUGUCAGGCAAUGUGUGGGGUGUCCUGAAGAAAAACAGUGAAGAGAUCUGAACAGUGGGGUGACAGCUUGGAAGAGGAAGAGCCUGGGGCAGCUCAACAGCACAGACCUUCGGCUCAGAGGCGCUGGGCGCCUGCAGGGCACACUCAGCUUUCUCUCAGACCUAUGGACCAGGGGAACUUAAAGAACUUUCUGGUUUAAAAACAAACAAACAAACAAAACAAAUGAGCACUCAAACAAACCCCAAGGCUGCUUUGAGAGGGCCACAGAGACAAGCGCGGCUGCUUUGCAGGUGUGUGCUUGUCUGUGGCAGAGCAUGGCUCGCCUCUGGAGCUCUCAUCACUGACCACUCUUCAGUGUCACCUCCCUGUGCCACCAUCUUGUCGAUUUUUCCUAUGAAAGACUAAAGUCUUACAUCUGUCAAGAAAACACCGAUGGUGAUGGACCUGAGCAGCAAAUAAAACCAAACGCCUCCCUUCUAGGUUGAGGUGUUUGGAGAGGAAAGAGGGUCUAACUCACGGCUUGGUUCCAUCCCAGGACAUUCUGAAGUGCCACCCACACUGAUGGGAACCUGCCUCUGUCCCCUUGCACUGCAUCCAAGUGCGUGUGCUGAAAGUGCAGCAUGUCCUACCAACCUUACUCAUGUGUGGCAGAGUGAACUCCCUAUGCCCACCCCUCCUGUUAAAGCUGUGUUCACAAUGGUAGUACCUCUAGACAGCAGGGCUUACAAUCAGAGGGUUUUUGUAACAGAAAGGAAAGGGGCAAACAAAACCGUCUGAGCAUACAAGAAACCCUGAGGUGAAAAUGGCUUUUCCUGUAGAGUCUUCUUCAGGCUGACGCAGUGUCUGUCACAAGGGCCCAGGGCCCUUCUGGGAGGGCAGGCCUUCCUCCAUCCACAGAGAGCCAGUGCGGGGCGCCCUGCGGUGGAUGCGCCGCAGCCGCAGCAGGUAGAGAAGGAUGGACAGAAGGACGACCAGGAAGCAACCGGAGAACAGAUAGUGGUUGUAGACGAAGGACACGCCCCGCCAGUGUGCGUGGCCAGCUCGGAACACCUCCUGCCGGAUGUCUCUGUGGCACAGAGACAAACAGAAACGACAAUGAGAAGGGUGCCAGGCAGGGUCUGCUGUUCCUGGCUUUCCUUACAUUCAGACCAGGGGAUGGCAAGCCCAAAGUGGGUUCCCUGUCAACUAUGUUGUUAACACUCAGAUAAUGACAUGUGGAAGCAUGUCCUUAAGACAUGAGCGUUAUCAUUUCAUCAACACACACUUGAUAAAUGUAGGUCCCAGGGUUUUGUUUUUACAAGGAAGUUGGUGGGGCAAACACAUUCAUGUGGAUAUUUGUGUAAUCAGUAAUGGCUCCUAAACAGAAUUUUUGGAGCUGACCCAACUUAGAACAGUAGAUAAAUAAGGUUUUAAAUGUGGUCAUCUGAGCUAGGUCUGAGAACUUGAAUAAAGAAAGCUGUAUGUCUUUAUGU